rnacentral:rRNA from 1 species
AAACCUGCCUCAUAGACUGGGACAACUAUUGGAAACGAUAGCUAAUACCGGAUAACAGCAUUAACUGCAUGGUUGAUGUUUAAAAGUUGGUUUUGCUAACACUAUGAGAUGGCUUUGCGGUGCAUUAGCUAGUUGGUGGGGUAAAGGCCUACCAAGGCGACGAUGCAUAGCCGACCUGAGAGGGUGAUCGGCCACACUGGGACUGAGACACGGCCCAG